rnacentral:antisense_RNA from 1 species
AGUGUUUAAAAUCGUCUCCCCAGCUUGAACGAACUCCGGGAAUAGCAGCAA